GACGAACGCUGGCGGCGUGCCUAAUACAUGCAAGUAGAACGCUGAAGCUUGGUGCUUGCACCGAGCGGAUGAGUUGCGAACGGGUGAGUAACGCGUAGGUAACCUGCCUGGUAGCGGGGGAUAACUAUUGGAAACGAUAGCUAAUACCGCAUAACAGUAGAUGUCGCAUGACAUUUGCUUAAAAGGUGCAAUUGCAUCACUACCAGAUGGACCUGCGUUGUAUUAGCUAGUUGGUGAGGUAACGGCUCACCAAGGCGACGAUACAUAGCCGACCUGAGAGGGUGAUCGGCCACACUGGGACUGAGACACGGCCCAGACUCCUACGGGAGGCAGCAGUAGGGAAUCUUCGGCAAUGGACGGAAGUCUGACCGAGCAACGCCGCGUGAGUGAAGAAGGUUUUCGGAUCGUAAAGCUCUGUUGUAAGAGAAGAACGAGUGUGGGAGUGGAAAGUUCACACUGUGACGGUAUCUUACCAGAAAGGGACGGCUAACUACGUGCCAGCAGCCGCGGUAAUACGUAGGUCCCGAGCGUUGUCCGGAUUUAUUGGGCGUAAAGCGAGCGCAGGCGGUUAGAUAAGUCUGAAGUUAAAGGCUGUGGCUUAACCAUAGUACGCUUUGGAAACUGUUUAACUUGAGUGCAAGAGGGGAGAGUGGAAUUCCAUGUGUAGCGGUGAAAUGCGUAGAUAUAUGGAGGAACACCGGUGGCGAAAGCGGCUCUCUGGCUUGUUACUGACGCUGAGGCUCGAAAGCGUGGGGAGCAAACAGG
rnacentral:rRNA from 1 species